UGGGGAAUAUUGGACAAUGGGCGAAAGCCUGAUCCAGCCAUGCCGCGUGUGUGAAGAAGGUCUUCGGAUUGUAAAGCACUUUAAGUUGGGAGGAAGGGCAGUAAGCGAAUACCUUGCUGUUUUGACGUUACCGACAGAAUAAGCACCGGCUAACUCUGUGCCAGCAGCCGCGGUAAUACAGAGGGUGCUAGCGUUAAUCGGAAUUACUGGGCGUAAAGCGCGCGUAGGUGGUUCGUUAAGUUGAAUGUGAAAGCCCCGGGCUCAACCUGGGAACUGCAUCCAAAACUGGCGAGCUAGAGUAGGGCAGAGGGUGGUGGAAUUUCCUGUGUAGCGGUGAAAUGCGUAGAUAUAGGAAGGAACACCAGUGGCGAAGGCGACCACCUGGGCUCAUACUGACACUGAGGUGCGAAAGCGUGGGGAGCAAACAGG
rnacentral:rRNA from 1 species